rnacentral:misc_RNA from 1 species
AAAGGAAGGUACAUCUGAUAUUUCAAUUCUCAACAAAAGCUUCUGUAUUUAAAAGUUUUCCAGUAUUCCUUUAAAUUCUACUCUUAGUAGGUUAGUGUUUGUGCCAAAAAAGUGAGAUCCGUGUAACUUUUGUUCAACCAUUACUAGUUUGAAAUUAGGAUUAGGUAUCACCUUGGUCUUUUGGGCAUUUAAAUUGAGAAAUUUCUCUCUUUUUUUUUUU